GGUAGAAGGGAAAAAUAUAAGAAAUCCGCAAGCCAAGAGACCGUGAGAACCGGUAAAAGCAGACUGUGGCUGUGACAAGCAGGAUAUCAGUAUCUGGUUCGCGCUUUGAUAUCGUGUGACCUUAACGUUUUUGUCGUGUGUUUGCGCGAGUGAAGGCGAACUGUGCUGUUGCAUGUUUUGUGGGGACAUUGAGCGCUAAGACAAUACUAGUAAUGUGAAAUUACGAGUGUAUUUUACGCGUUGAUUUUCAUGUACCUACGGGUAGCGUGUGUUUGAUUGCAAUGGUUCCCUAAGUGAUAACGUUGUGACAUUUUCAACGGAAGUAGCAUCCACUCGAUGAAGAUUUCGAACCAAGGACUACGACAAGAGGAGCUCCUAGGAAACCAUAACGCUGAGACCAAAACAGACGGCGGAACCUUAAGCGAUUAAGGACCCAUCUACAGGAGGAUGUACGGGGUAUUUGCAACAAAUCAGGAUGAUCUAAAUGGUGACUUGAAGGGAUAUGGAACGAGGCGAUCGUGACUUAUUCCACUCCUCUGCAGCUGAGAAAACUUCGUUAAGGAGACUAAUGGCUACUCACCCCUGCUCCUGAGCUAUCUUGAUGUUCC